rnacentral:rRNA from 1 species
UACGGAGGGUGCAAGCGUUAUCCGGAUUCACUGGGUUUAAAGGGUGCGUAGGUGGGUUGGUAAGUCAGUGGUGAAAUCUCCGGGCUUAACCUGGAAACUGCCAUUGAUACUAUCAAUCUUGAAUACCUUGGAGGUGAGCGGAAUAUGUCAUGUAGCGGUGAAAUGCUUAGAUAUGACAUAGAACACCAAUUGCGAAGGCAGCUCACUACACGGUCAUUGACACUGAGGCACGAAAAGCGUGGGGGAU